UACGUAGGGUGCGAGCGUUGUCCGGAAUUAUUGGGCGUAAAGGGCUCGUAGGCGGUCUGUCGCGUCGGGAGUGAAAACUCAGGGCUUAACCCUGAGCCUGCUUUUGAUACGGGCAGACUGGAGGGAUGCAGGGGAGAACGGAAUUCCUGGUGUAGCGGUGAAAUGCGCAGAUAUCAGGAGGAACACCGGUGGCGAAGGCGGUUCUCUGGGCAUGUCCUGACGCUGAGGAGCGAAAGUGUGGGGAGCGAACAGG
rnacentral:rRNA from 1 species